rnacentral:sRNA from 1 species
UUUAAUUUAGUAAUUUUGUUUCAAAUAUUGCUAUACACUUUAACUAUUUAUUUGAUAAUGAUAAACUGCAUUUUAAUUCUACAUGCUCCAUACAUCGAGGCCUUAGAGGUGUUUGAAAAAAAACAGGGAUUUCAUCCAAAAGAAUGAUACCGUGGAGCUUGAUUACAUGGAAGGUUCGAUCUUCAAGGCAUUGGGGGAAGAAACCAAAGACAUGAAUCUCAAGUUCACAUAUUGGUUGGGUUCUAUUGAAUACUUUUCGAGAAUUACUUUGGGAUCAAUAUUUUCAGCAAAUCUACUCUUCAAUACGAUAGAGCAAAUUGAGUUAGACUUGUAUCACAAGUUAUCACUGCGCCAGGCAAAAAAUGGUUUGUUUCAUCUUAGACAACCUGAAUCUGACGGCUUUGCUUCUUCUGAAUUCAACCCGAACCAUCCCUGCUAGCAUAAAAACAAGUUCGGGCAGUGAAUCAGGGAAAUUGAAGAAAUGAAGCAUAUAAUCGAAACUUCAGAGACAAGAAUCCCUCUUUCCAAAAACUAAUUUUAGAAAAAUUAAGAAAAUACGAUAUCUAAUCAGUUCAGGUUUUAACUUUUAAGUUGCAUGUUAGGCUGUAUUUCUUUCAUGAUUA